CCCUUAGAUGUUCUGGGCUGCACGCGCGCUACACUGAAGGAGGCAGCAUGUACUCCUGGAUCGAAAGAUUUGGGUAACCCGCGAAUCUCCUUCGUGCUAGGGAUUGAGGUUUGCAAUUAUCCUUCAUGAACGAGGAAUUCCCAGUAAGUGCAAGUCAUAAGCUUGCGCUGACUACGUCCCUGCCCUUUGUACACACCGCCCGUCGCUACUACCGAUUGAAUGAUUUAGUGAGGACUUCGGACUGGGACCGAUGCGGCUUUCGGGCUGCGUCGGUAUUCUGGAAAGAUGUCCAAACUGUAUCAUUUAGAGGAAGUAAAAGUCGUAACA
rnacentral:rRNA from 1 species